rnacentral:rRNA from 1 species
GACGAACGCUGGCGGCGUGCUUAACACAUGCAAGUCGAACGGAAAGGCCCUGCUUUUGUGGGGUGCUCGAGUGGCGAACGGGUGAGUAACACGUGAGUAACCUGCCCUUGACUUUGGGAUAACUUCAGGAAACUGGGGCUAAUCCCGGAUAGGAGCUCCUGCUGCAUGGUGGGGGUUGGAAAGUUUCGGCGGUUGGGGAUGGACUCGCGGCUUAUCAGCUUGUUGGUGGGGUAGUGGCUUACCAAGGCUUUGACAGGUAGCCGGCCUGAGAGGGUGACCGGCCACAUUGGGACUGAGAUACGGCCCAGACUCCUACGGGAGGCAGCAGUGGGGAAUAUUGCACAAUGGGCGGAAGCCUGAUGCAGCAACGCCGCGUGCGGGAUGACGGCCUUCGGGUUGUAAACCGCUUUCGCCUGUGACGAAGCGUGAGUGACGGUAAUGGGUAAAGAAGCUCCGGCUAACUACGUG